rnacentral:lncRNA from 1 species
CUACACCACAGCUACAAAGGGGCUUGACAUGAUCAAAUGAGAGAACGUUUCAGUAACUCUUAUAUUCAACUUGUUUCACUUUCAGACAUUCAGCUGGAUUUGGAGAAGUGGGAUCUGACCACGAAGAACGGAGGACUCUGCUCUGCGAAGACAGUCGGACUGGUUGCACUGCAUUUCUAUAUUCGCUUGGCUUUUCAGGCUCGUUACCCAGCUGGCUGGAGGCUAGAACCAGUGACAGUCUGGCAAAGGCAGUUACAAACACAGAAAAGAGCAUUUCAACUUCUGGUGGAGGUGAAAUAUUCUCCAGGCAAAAAGUUUUUAGGGGAACAGCUCCCAUGUACAUGAGCAGGAUCUUUAGCGAUGAAAGUAAAGACCCUGAGCUGAUUUCUAACUGCUUCUCAGGUUGGAGAUACUCUCAGACCAGGUUAACCGUGAAGACUCUUGGGAAGGGUGAGUAAGAGUGGUCCUUCUAUGGGGUUUGAAAUUUAGAAAAUCAGAUGUCCCCAAAACCUCUUGUAAGUAUUAAUCAAACAUCGUGCAAAAACAAGUACCUGGAAUGCUUAGUAAAACUUAAAAUAUCAAAAACAAUACUAGUGUCUCCAUUUGAAUUCAUUGCAUAUUUUCUGCUGUGUUUGCAAUUGUGCAGAGCUGCCUAAUAACAAAAUUGGAGAUAGAAGAACUGAUGGACUGAAGCGUUAAAAAUAUAGAUUUUUCUGUUUUUCCCAGACGAGACAUUGAAAUGCUGUAUAGCAAACUGAUGGACGGUUGCAGACUAUGUAGUUAGCAGAGCUUUCCAUGGAUAUAGCUUUUAUUUUCUGUUUAUUCCUACACAAAGCUUUUGACCAAAGAUGCAGAAAACAAAGUGGAUGAUUAUUAAAUUGUACAAAAUAACUUCAAACAUGAAGAAAAGAAGAAGACAAAGAAAAUAAUCUACUCUACAAAAGCCUGUCAACUUCUUUAUUCCCUUCAUUGUGAAAGCUAAGAAACAGAAUUAUGUUUCCCUGACAUCACAAGAACUCCCUUAAAGUUAAAAUCCAAGCCCUUUUAAAAGCCAAAUUAAAUUGAGGAAUGAGGUUUGAUUACUGUUAAUAGCGGAAAGUAGGACAAACUUAGAGACGGUCAUAUAUCACUGAGUUUCUAGAGCCCUGGAAGAGACAGUCUUUGAACUCUGAAAAGAACGACCCAGAAUGAAAACCAGAAGGAAGAUGUGUCGAAAGCAUUUAAGUCGCCAGUCACACCAUCGGCGCUGCUUGCUCCCAGAGAUCCGACACAAGGAAUGAGGUCUCCCUUAGCUCUAGCCCAAGUGCAGAAUAAUCUUUUUACAACAAGUUCAAGCACAUCAGUC